CAAAAGUGGUCAGUAUCAUUGGGAAGUGGGGUUCUCACCAGCGGCAACUCUGCAUCAACUCACCUGCUUUCUGCUCCAAGGGUCCAGCACCCUGAGAUCCUGAUGCCAGGGGGUGAGUUGGCCUCACUGCAACCUCAUCCUACCUGGCUAUCCUCCAGCACUAAGACAGUCUGGCAGGUUCAGGGAAGAAGGAAGUUUCCAAGUGGAAGUCACACACCUGAAAAGGAGCCACUCUCGUCGCUGCUCUGGUGGCAGCUCUUCUCACAACCUACCUAGAAAGCGUCACAAACUCAGACUUGUUAAACCCAAACAAGCCUUUCAAGCUCCCGGUCAGGAUGCCUGGAGUGGGUGAACUAGCCGGGUUUCACCUCAUCCACUGCCAGCAGUCCCGGCUCAUGGUUUCCCUGUAGGCCUGCAAAGCCGGAAGAUACUUGGACUUCAACUGGCGCAUUCAGACAGGAAAAGGUGCCACAAGCAGUUCCAAGCGCGGCUACCGACCCCUGGCGGCCGUGGCCUGGAGUUGCUUCUCGUGAUGAUCAGGCCGAGCGAAGACAAGGACCCUUUUCUCCCACUACCCACUCUCGAAAGUCUCAAGGACCCCCAAACUCUCGGAUAGGUGAAGAGCACCACGCCAUCCUACAUUCGUAAGCACCCCUGGCCCCAGGUGGGACUUUGAGCUCAAAUUCGAUGAACUCAGAAGAUCGAGCACGCCUACCGCCCAGCUGGGAGCCCAGAGCCAAGUGUGUACCCACUAGAGACAGAAACCCUGGCCACGCAGGUCAGACAGGUUUCCAUUCUCCGCGCCUCCUAAAAGCUAGGACUUGGGCCGGUUCCGCCUUUCGUCCGCUGGGGCCCUCCAGGCCGCCGGCCACCUCCUGCUCCCUGGCAGGGGGCGGCCGACACAUGGCUCAGGAGGCCCCAAGACGCCGGAGAGCGGCCGAAACCUGUCCAGGAUCCACGCGGCUGUGCAGGCCAAACUGCCCAUCUGCGGAGCUGCCGCGAAGUCGCCGGGACAGUAGGAAGGGACGCAGGCUGUGCUCCGACCCCUCCCAAGAGACGAGCGCGGCCCCUGCCUUAAUUCAGGCCCGCGCCUACCGGUCCU